rnacentral:misc_RNA from 1 species
AAGUCGUAACAAGGUUUCCGUAGGUGAACCUGCGGAAGGAUCAUUAAUGAAACUUCAAAGUCGGCUUGUUCUGUUCUGUGCUGGUGGGAGACCACAUUGUGCACGUCGACAAGUCGCAAAUCCACACACACCUGUGCAUCUUAUGACUCUGAGUGCCGCUUUGCAUGGCCCCUUAAAACCAGGCCUGGUAUUCGAGUAACUUUUACACACUCUGAAUGUAAUGGAAUGUCUAUUGUGCAUAAUGUACAACUUAAAACAACUUUCAACAACGGAUCUCUUGGCUCUC